rnacentral:lncRNA from 1 species
CAAACAAGGAGAAGAGGGAGAAGUAAAUAAAGAUGAAUUGACAACAACGUCCUUCAUUUUAAGAGAGCCCGGCCUGUGUGCACCGCCAGGGAGAUGGAGGCAGCCUGACUCUUCCACAUUCUGCAUUGCCCUUCCUUCUUCUCUCUUCUUCCUCACUGACGACCCACUCUUCUGUAUGGGCUGAGGAUGGCCUGGCCAGUGUGGACCAGCGUUCCAGCUGUGUGACCUCAGGCAAGUUGCCUUCCCUCUCUGGGCUUCCAUUUCUUUAUCUGCCAAAGGAGGGCGCUAGACGGAGCUAU